rnacentral:rRNA from 1 species
UUAGAGUUUGAUCCUGGCUCAGAGCGAUCGCUGGCGGCAGGCUUAACACAUGCAAGUCGAGCGGGCGUAGCAAUACGUCAGCGGCAGACGGGUGAGUAACGCGUGGGAACGUACCUUUUGGUUCGGAACAACACAGGGAAACUUGUGCUAAUACCGGAUAAGCCCUUACGGGGAAAGAUUUAUCGCCGAAAGAUCGGCCCGCGUCUGAUUAGCUAGUUGGUGAGGUAAUGGCUCACCAGGGCGACGAUCAGUAGCUGGUCUGAGAGGAUGAUCAGCCACAUUGGGACUGAGACACGGCCCAAACUCCUACGGGAGGCAUCAGGUGGGGAAUAUUGGACGAUGGCGGCAACCCCGAACCAGCCAUGCCGCGUGAGUGAUGAAGGCCCUAGGGUUGUAAAGCUCUUUUGUGCGGGAAGAUAAUGACGGUACCGCAAGAAUAAGCCCCGGCUAACUUCGUGCCAGCAGCCGCGGUAAUACGAAGGGGGCUAGCGUUGCUCGGAAUCACUGGGCGUAAAGGGUGCGUAGGCGGGUCUUUAAGUCAGGGGUGAAAUCCUGGAGCUCAACUCCAGAACUGCCUUUGAUACUGAAGAUCUUGAGUUCGGGAGAGGUGAGUGGAACUGCGAGUGUAGAGGUGAAAUUCGUAGAUAUUCGCAAGAACACCAGUGGCGAAGGCGGCUCACUGGCCCGAUACUGACGCUGAGGCACGAAAGCGUGGGGAGCAAACAGGAUUAGAUACCCUGGUAGUCCACGCCGUAA